GUUUUGCUCACCUGUGUUUCAUGUACCAAAAAAUGGUCGCACACCCGAAGCCUGUGGCCACGCUGAGGUGUGAGUUUGGUUUUGGAAGGGAGGACAGGAAACUAUUGCUGCAGCGGCCAUCUUGCCAGAUACCCCGAUGCUGCACACAUGUUGCAGCUUGUCCUUGGAUAGCAGCCCGACGCACCGGUUGAGAGUGUCCAGAAUACGCGCGGUAUCCUGCUCCUUGGCCUGGACACAAAUGUUGACGGCGAAUGUUUUUUUAGGUCACUUGUGAGUAUGUCGAUCACUUACCUUUAUCCCGUUUGUAUCGGCUAUGUCAGAAGCAGUUGCCAAACUCUGGCUUGCAGCGACACUCUUUGAAUCGCUUUCUAAUAAAACUGCUUUAAUCGAUGUGGUGCCCACAUCUAAACCCAGAAUGUACGAAUGCAUAGUGACAGUCACACACGACCCUCAGGCAACAGAUCAACACACUCUUCUUCGUCGGUGUUUGACCCAGUAGCCACACAAGUGUACAGUAUUACUGCACCCACUUGGGGCUACUCGUUCAGUAGGUCAUUCUAAUAAAAAUAUUUGCGUAGGAAAUCCUACAUAUUUAAAAAUAUAUAUUUUCUUCAAUUAACAAUAUAUUUGCUGCCUACACAAACU